rnacentral:lncRNA from 1 species
UCUGAGGCUGUUCACUAAACAAAAAUCCCUGAAAAGACAUUCCGAAACAAAGACCGUCAGUGUCUCUGCUUGCAAGACACACAGAAACGCACCCCACCAGUGGAGAAUCGCCUCCCAAGAGUAAGUCAGUAACAAGACUGAGUGCUCCUGGAGGUGUGGGUGCAGCUGAACGCCGAGAGAGACAGUGGACUUUAUAGAAUUCCCUAGACCCCAUCUCAAAUGUGACACGUCAUUGCAGACAUUUGCUUCCUGUCCAGGGUGCCAGCUACAGAAGUCCUAUAUCUGCUGCUCUGAGGCCACUGCUGAGCCAUGGGCAGCGGCACAGCGCUCAGAGUGGAGCAGGCCCCCGCUGAAUUGAUGUUGUCCCUAUGACAGUGUGCCGCCCACUGUGACAGGCAGUGCCAAUGCAGAGACGAGAAGACUCAGACCCUGCUGGAGAUGUGGAGGGGAAGACAGACAAGAAAACCAGAAUGACAGCAGGCCUGGGGGGUCCACGAGGAGCCAGCCCCCAGCACAGAGGCACCUGGAUGCUGAGACACGGGGACAAUCUGCUUCGUCGUGUGUGUUCUCAUUGUCUAACCGGAGAUUGUCUCUUGCUUUCCAGCCUGAAUAAAUACAAAACUCAUCACUUCUUCUUCCA